GGUCCCAUGGUGUAAUGGUUAGCACACUGGACUCUGAAUCCAGCGAUCCGAGUUCAAAUCUCGGUGGGACCU
rnacentral:tRNA from 1 species